ACAUCGAUGAAUGUAGCAGGAAACCAUGCCAACAUGGACGCUGUGUGAACAAAGAUGGUGGCUACAUAUGUACAUGCUUACCUGGAUGGACUGGACAGAACUGUCAGCAAGACAUCGAUGAAUGUACCAAAAACCCAUGUCAACAUGGACGCUGUGUGAACAAAGAUGGCGGCUACAAAUGUACCUGCUCACCUGGAUGGGCUGGACAGAACUGUCAGCAAGACGUCAAUGAGUGUACCGAAAACCCAUGCCAACACGGACGCUGUGUGAACGAAGAUGGCGGCUACAAAUGUACCUGCUCACCUGGAUGGACUGGACAGAACUGUCAGCAAGACAUCGAUGAAUGUACCAAAAACCCAUGUCAACAUGGACGCUGUGUGAACAAAGAUGGCGGCUACAAAUGUACCUGCUCACCUGGAUGGGCUGGACAGAACUGUCAGCA